UACAGAGGGGGCAAGCGUUGUUCGGAAUUACUGGGCGUAAAGGGCGCGUAGGCGGCCUUCUAAGUCGAACGUGAAAUCCCUGGGCUUAACCCAGGAACUGCGUCCGAUACUGGAAGGCUUGAAUCCGGGAGAGGGAUGCGGAAUUCCAGGUGUAGCGGUGAAAUGCGUAGAUAUCGGAAGGAACACCAGUGGCGAAAGCGGCUUCCUGGUCCAGCACCGACGUUCAGGCACGAAAGCGUGGGGAGCAAACAGG
rnacentral:rRNA from 1 species